UGGGAAGACACACCCUGAGCCCAAAACACGAACCCCUCGCUGAUGCCCAGCCGGGGCAGCCCUCGCUGCUGCUUGCACGCGUUUAUCAGGUGCGCUGAUUAACUCCCAACUCGGACACAGCAAAACCUGAAACUCGCUCUGCCCUCAGCUGUUUUCCUCCAUCCACUACAGCAGGAGGAAUCACAAGACUUUUCGCGGAGAAAAGCAAAGCAGAACAAGUCGCUGCAGGACGAUCGCAGUCGCGCAGCGGCGGGCAGCGCUCACGGCCCGGCCCGGCCCGGCCCGGGACACCUUCCCCGGCAUUCCUUACCCUCCUCGCUCCUCCCAGGGACGGCGAAUCGCUCCCUCGCCCGGCCCGAAGCGUCUCCCACGCCCCCGGCCCGGAGCUGGGCAGCCAGCAUUCCUUCCUUCCUCCCUCCCUCCCCGCCCAGCGAUGGGAGGUCGCUUCCCAGAGAUGCGGUCAUGCCGCGAAGAGAUGCGCGACAGCGGCCCGAGCAUCCCCGGAGCGCGGGGAUUCUCCGCAAAAACCGGCUCUUGGUCCUUUAUUGCUUGGCACUAGGGACCAGGAAGCAGUAAGAUACAGAGCUUUUAGAUGAAACAGGAACAGACAUCUGCUGCUAGCCAGGAAGACACAAGCAACAGAAACAUCGUGUACUGUGUGCUGCUGAUGCAAUGAACAGGAGCAGAAUCAAUCACCAGAAAGGUUAAGUUGGCUUUCCUGUUAAGUCCAUAAUGUUUGAGCAUUUCCAUAGCUAAAAGGAAAAUAUGUCAUUUACUAAUAAACACAAUAUUAGAAUUAGUAAAAAAUCUGAAGAA